CGGUGGAUAAAAAGUAAGAGUUCCAAAUCUACACGUACGGGUAGCAUGGGUAAAACUUGAGGCUACCUCUUAAGUUGUCCAGUCUCCGUCUCCGAUGAAUAUUGCGUUCCAAGCGGAGGGAUGUAUGUUUCAUGGAAUGGCCUCGAGAGCAUCUUUCUUUUCUUUUCUUUUCUGUCUCCCUGGUCCCUGGUUUCAUUUGAUGAGCAUCUCCUCCUUUCUUUCUUCAUACGGACACGGCUGCCGUGUGGUUGGUUCUCUUAAGGAAAAUUAGUUUGGUUAAAACCACGAAUUACAAAUCGUAGCUAGGAGAUCUGAGGGCUUUUUGUCAUGACAUGCUGUGUUCUUGCGUUAUUUGUGUAAUCGGCUUAUAAUUCUCCCCCAAAUGAUUAACUAGCAGACUAGCAGUAGUUUAGUUUAGGUAAAUAAUUGUGGUUUGUUGGUAUUGUUCUCUGCUUGACUACAGUUUACAAGUAAUUGAUGGGUGCUACUUGGCCUGUAAUAUGCUCCUUGGCCUGUAAUAUGCUCCAUGGAGUCGGACUUUGUGAUUAAUAGUUGUUGAAGUUGUUUUAAUUGCUUCA